AUGAUUGUCGGAGCUUCUUUUGGCGCAGAUUCGGUUCUGUGGUUGCAGGGCGCGAUUGGAGGUUCAGUUAGUGGCGGAAGGGAGUUAGCGAUGGCGGUUGUUUGCCGGCUGACAGAGACGGUUAGGAAUUUGCAAAAGUUUGGUUUUAUGCACUGUGUGGUGUUAAUUUCUUGGAUGGUUUUGGUGAGUAUGAAGCUGGAGCGGAGGGGUACAGAGGGAUUAUUUGAUGUUGUGAAUGGAGUUUCGAAGGGUGGUUUGAGGUGGAGAGGAGGCAGUAGUGGUGAGCGUUGA